AUCAUGCUGUACAAUGGAUCUCUUGAACUGACUCCUGCUAUCUAACUUGGAUUUUGUAUUCUUUCACCAACAUCUCCCUAACUACCCUUGCCCCCUGCCAACCACUCUAGCCCCUGGUAGCUGCUCUUUUACUCUCCGCUUUUAUGAGAUCAGUUUUUUUAGAUUCUACGUGAGUGAGCUUAUACAGUAUUUGUCUUUCCGUACCUGGCUUAUUUCACUUACAAUGUGCUGUAAGUACAACCAUGUUGUCACAAAUGACAGGUUUUCCUUUUUUUUAAUGGUUGAAUAGUAUUGUGUAUAUAUAUCACAUUUUCUUUAUCCAUUCAUCAGUAGACACUUAGGUUGAUUCCCUGUCCUGGC
rnacentral:lncRNA from 10 species